rnacentral:rRNA from 1 species
AGAGUUUGAUCCUGGCUUAGGACAAACGCUGGCGGCGUGCCUAACACAUGCAAGUCGAACGGAGAAUUUCAAUAAGUUACUAGUGAAAUUUUAGUGGCGGACGGGUGAGUAACGCGUGGGUAACCUACCCAUAAAGCCGGGACAACCCUUGGAAACGAGGGCUAAUACCGGAUAAUCUUAAGACAUGGCAUCAAGUUUUAAGGAAAGGUGGCCUCUGAAAAUGCUACCGAUUAUGGAUGGACCCGCGUCUGAUUAGCUGGUUGGUGGGGUAAAGGCCUACCAAGGCGACGAUCAGUAGCCGGCCUGAGAGGGUGAACGGCCACACUGGGACUGAGACACGGCCCAGACUCCUACGGGAGGCAGCAGUGGGGAAUCUUCCGCAAUGGACGAAAGUCUGACGGAGCAACGCCGCGUGUAUGAUGAAGGUUUUCGGAUUGUAAAGUACUGUCUUUGGGGGAGAAUGAUGUACUCAAGAAUAUUGAGUACAAAUGACGGUACCCAAGGAGGAAGCCCCGGCUAACUACGUGCCAGCCGCCGC